rnacentral:lncRNA from 1 species
UAAUAGGUCCACGCAGACUUGCGACCGUGUCCCAUUUCCAUCGUCCUAGCUGACAACACAAAAUUUUUUACAACAUACACCUCUUGGACUUGGCUUUGCCCCAAUAGCACUAAGACCAUAGUCAUCAUCUAGGCCCAUGUCAAUCCUACUGCACGAGGGUGCUUUCUUGGACCAUGAACACCCGGCCCUCCGUUGUUACCAAUGAUUAUUCUCGCUCCACAAGAGUGUUCUCCCAACAC